UUAUUGAUUACUUUCCUCCCAAACUCAGUCGUACAACUUUCUGUGGAGGGUUUUUCUAUUUCGCGUUCUCCUUGUGCUCAGGAAAUGACAUGCUAAUGACCUGCAGCCACCUUCUCCUCAUGAAGAAAAUCACCUAGUCACUUAAAUAGAGUCGCAAUUAGGUUAGGGCAGCAUUACAGCUCAGUAAACUAGCUGCAGUUUCUAACCUGAAUUUGUUAAUAUCUUAUUCUGCAAAACAAUUUACAGCAAAGCAAAUGCAUAAUAGCCAACUCUUCUAUUGAGAUGCAACCCACUACACACAAACAUCUCACACAAAGGCAGAAACCAAAUGCAGUUCACUUCAUUUUACUGGCAAGGCAAAUGCCAAGGAGGACAGCUUUGAGUUGUUCGUAUUACAGUUAGGGGUGAGAGUGCAGGGAAACUAACUUCAUAAAAGCUAAGGUAAAGGGUUUAUUUGAGAAGCUCUAGUUUCCAUUAUCUAGCUAGAAAGCAGAGAAUUAUCAGUGUACUUUACUUAAAAAGAUUAAGUUUUUUGAAAGAGUUGUCAUCGCUCUGCUCUCCCAACAGGUCUCUCGCCUUCAACUUCAGGAAGCUCUACCAAAUUCAAGAAGGAACAUUAUUCUGAAAUUCAACUGCAACGCAGCACACCCAGGAAGCACACCACACAAUUCAGUUCAGUGAGUAAUGCAAGUUUUAUACAUUAUAGUUUUUAAAGUAGAUAACUUGUUAAAGUGUUCGAUGUGGAUUUAUGUCUUCCUGGUUUUGUUAGUUUGGUUGUUUUUUUUAGAGAACAUAGAAAGCUGAUUUGAUGAUUGCAAGAGGAGUAAUUUUUCUCCCCUUUCUCACCCCCUGAGAUAACUAAGCUAGGGUCGUAGCUAGGGAAUGAGUCUUAAGUACACAAAUAACCAGCACAUCCUCUUUUUUUCCCCUGGAUAAAGUCAGAAGUUUUAGCGUUGUUAAUUUGAAGACAAAUAGGCCUCCAGAAAAACUUAAGGUAACUGCAUUCAGCCAUUCCAUUGUAGUCCAUGUUAGUAAUGUAGAUUCCUAACAGAGCAUUCUUGCCUUUGGUAAAAGCAGUGUUUCCAAAAAUAAUAAUAAUAAUAAUAAUAUUGAGAAAUCUUUUAAGAAAACAGAUGCAUCUUCACCUGCUUCCCAGCACUUGGAAGCAACCUUAGUUGUUACCAGUGUUUGGGGGAAACACACGGAAAUAGGAAGAACAGAGCUACGCAUAGAUGUUCUUCUUGAUGCAAACCUGUAGAAGAACAGACUGACCUUUUCCACCAGCUACACUUGAAAAGAAGUCAUUGAGAGCAGAGCAGCAACUUUCCUUCUAGCAAAACACCACACACUCCAACUUUCAAUGCCUACCACCAAGAAAAAACCAAAAUCUGUUUCUAGCACCAAAGAAAAAACAAACUGACCAACAAGCCAAAGAUCAAUUCCUACCACCAGAAAAAAAAACUACAAGCCAACACCAAAUCUCAAUUUCCAAAGAAAAACCUAAAACAAGCCAAUUCCAACUUACAGUCUCUAGCAUCAAGACAAAACAACCAAACUGACUUACAAGCCAACACCUAAGUUAAAUUCCUACCACCAAAAAAAAAAAAAACCAAGCCAACUCCUAAUCAGUUUCUACCACCAUAGGAAAAAAACUUAACAAGCCAAUUCCAACAUUCAGUUUCCAGCACCAAGAAAAAAAAGAAAAAUAACCGAACUGACUAACAAGCCAACACCAAAUCUCAGUUUCUACCAAAGAAAAAACCUAACAAGCUAAUUCCAACAUUCAGUUUCUAGCACCAGAGAAAAAACAACCAAACUGACUAACAAGCUUAAGUUCAAUUCAUACCACCAAAAGAAAAAAGCCAAUUCCAACUUUCAGUUUCUAGCACCAAGAAAAAACAACACCAAAUCAGUUUAUACCACCAGAGAAAAAAACCUAACAAGCCAAUUCCAACAGUUUCCAGCACCAACAAAAAAAAAAAAAAAAAAUCAACCGAA